rnacentral:rRNA from 1 species
AUUGAACGCUGGCGGCAUGCCUUACACAUGCAAGUCGAACGGCAGCACGGGGGCAACCCUGGUGGCGAGUGGCGAACGGGUGAGUAACACAUCGGAACGUGCCCAGUAGUGGGGGAUAGCUCGGCGAAAGCCGGAUUAAUACCGCAUACGACCUACGGGUGAAAGCGGGGGAUCGCAAGACCUCGCGCUAUCGGAGCGGCCGAUGUCAGAUUAGGUUGUUGGGGGGUAAAGGCCUACCAAGCCGACGAUCUGUAGCUGGUCUGAGAGGACGACCAGCCACACUGGGACUGAGACACGGCCCAGACUCCUACGGGAGGCAGCAGUGGGGAAUUUUGGACAAUGGGCGCAAGCCUGAUCCAGCCAUGCCGCGUGCGGGAAGAAGGCCUGG